GAUGAACGCUAGCGGCAGGCUUAAUACAUGCAAGUCGAGGGGCAGCAGGUCUGUAGCAAUACAGAUGCUGGCGACCGGCAAACGGGUGCGGAACACGUACAGAACCUUCCUUUGAGCGGGGAAUAGCCCAGAGAAAUUUGGAUUAAUACCCCAUAGUAUAUUGAAAAGGCAUCUUUUUAAUAUUAAAGAUUUAUCACUCGAAGAUGGCUGUGCGGCUGAUUAGGUAGUUGGCGGGGUAACGGCCCACCAAGCCUACGAUCAGUAACUGGUGUGAGAGCACGACCAGUCACACGGGCACUGAGACACGGGCCCGACUCCUACGGGAGGCAGCAGUAAGGAAUAUUGGUCAAUGGACGAAAGUCUGAACCAGCCAUGCCGCGUGGAGGAUGAAGGUCCUCUGGAUUGUAAACUUCUUUUAUAUGGGACGAAAAAAGGGUUUUCUAACUCGUCUGACGGUACCAUAUGAAUAAGCACCGGCUAACUCCGUGCCAGCAGCCGCGGUAAUACGGAGGGUGCAAGCGUUAUCCGGAUUCACUGGGUUUAAAGGGUGCGUAGGUGGGUUGGUAAGUCAGUGGUGAAAUCCCCGAGCUUAACUUGGGAACUGCCAUUGAUACUAUCAGUCUUGAAUAUCGUGGAGGUUA
rnacentral:rRNA from 1 species